CUUGGAUUAGAGAUGAUUCACAAUAAAAACAUUAGUGAUUUUUGCACUUUGGAAUGUCUCUAUAUCCCUGAUAUAUACCAAUAUAAAGAUUCCUGCCUCUGCAGACUUUACUUUUUAAGCACUUUCCUAAAUGCCUCUUUCACAUCCUUAUUCCUCAGGCUGUAAAUGAAUGGGUUCAUCAUGGAUGUUAUGACUGAGUAGAACACUGAGACCACCUUAUUCCCCUUAUCCAUUUUCUUUGUAUUUGGCUGCAUGUAGGUAAAUAUUGUUGACCCAUAGAAAAAGAUAACAACAAUGAAGUGAGAGCCACAGGUAGAAAAGACCUUUAGUCUUCCAUUCCCUGACCGUAUCUGAAUCACAGUACAGAUGAUAUUCCAGUAGGAGAAAAGGAUCAGAGAGACAGGACCCAAGAGGAUGACCACACCCAUUACAAAAAUGGCCAUCUCAGCAUUGUAGGUUUCUUCUGAGGCCACUUUCAAGAGCGCAGGAGGCUCACAAAAAUAGUGGUUAAUUACUUUUGAUCCCUGAUAUGGGAGGCAUAAAGUGAAGGUGGUGUCUACUAAAGACACAAAUACACCACUAGCCCAGGACCCUAUGGCUAACAAAACACAAACUCUCUGGGUCAUGAUGGUAGAGUAGUGCAGGGGCUUGCAGACAGCCACAUAGCGGUCAUAGGACAUCGUCGCUAGAAGUGAACUCUCUGUACACCCCAUUAUUAGGAAGAAAAACAUCUGAACUGAACAUCCAGCAAAUGAAAUGGUCUUUCUCAUGACCAGAAAAUGUAAUAGCAUCGUGGGAACAAUAGUUGUAGAGAAACAGAGUGGACUCUCUAUUGUCUUUCCGAGUAAGAAAGGGAAAUGGCAGCUACUUAAAUUGUAUCAUAACCCACCAUCCUGUCCUUUCCUAAAUUCUUCAUUGGAUCAGAGAAAUGGUCCUUGACUGUGAUGGCAAUGCUCCAAGACAAGGUACAAAGGGACCUAAUUAUUGUGGAUCCAAAACAACGAAAUGGCAUCUGGACAUAGGCAGCACCACAAACUAUGGGAACCCUUCAUGGAGACAAAAUGCAGCCACGACUAUCUGCAUAGCUGCAAUGUUUUACCUGGCAUGACAAUGUUUGAUCUCAUUUAUGUUGCAGUCUAACUCAGAACUUUCAAUCAGUUAGAUGGAUGCACUGGUAGAGAUUAUGUACUGGUCUGAUGCAGGAAACACUAUUAAAAAUCCAUACUGUACUCUGCUGUACUUAUGGAACAAAACCAAAAUGUCACCCUAAAGGCUAAGUAGAUCAAGAAGAGUUAGGGAGAGUGGUACAUAGCUGGGACUCACAGCUGGAAUGUGAUAUGGCUGGAAAGGAUUGAAGCAGUAGUCUUAGAAUUGUCCGUUAGCACAAGGGCAAUGUCAUAGCAGAAAUCAGCUUCCUGAAAGGACCAUCUUGAGAUAUGUAUAAGUAAAAGACAGCAAGCAUGCAAUGGUUUGUUUUUGUAUAAGAACCUAGUCUAAUGGCAGUAUAAGGGAAAUGUGAACAGACCUGUUGUGGCUGGACCACUGGUUCAUGAGC
ensembl:lincRNA